CCUACGGGAGGCUGCAGUGGGGAAUAUUGGACAAUGGGCGAAAGCCUGAUCCAGCCAUGCCGCGUGUGUGAAGAAGGCCUUCGGGUUGUAAAGCACUUUCAGUGGGGAAGAAAGCCUUGGGGCUAAUACCCUCGAGGAAGGACAUCACCCACAGAAGAAGCACCGGCUAACUCCGUGCCAGCAGCCGCGGUAAUACGGAGGGUGCGAGCGUUAAUCGGAAUUACUGGGCGUAAAGCGCGCGUAGGCGGUCUGAUAAGCCGGUUGUGAAAGCCCCGGGCUCAACCUGGGAAUGGCAUCCGGAACUGUCAGGCUAGAGUGCAGGAGAGGAAGGUAGAAUUCCCGGUGUAGCGGUGAAAUGCGUAGAGAUCGGGAGGAAUACCAGUGGCGAAGGCGGCCUUCCGGACUGACACUGACGCUGAGGUGCGAAAGCGUGGGUAGCAAACAGGAUUAGAUACCCCAGUAGUC
rnacentral:rRNA from 1 species